rnacentral:rRNA from 1 species
UACGGGGGGAGCAAGCGUUGUUCGGAUUUACUGGGCGUAAAGAGCGCGCAGGCGGCCAAGUCAGUCGAAUGUGAAAGCCCCCGGCUUAACUGGGGAGGGUCAUUCGAUACUGCUCGGCUCGAAGACAGGAGAGGGAAGCGGAAUUCCCGGUGUAGUGGUGAAAUGCGUAGAUAUCGGGAGGAACACCAGUGGCGAAGGCGGCUUUCUGGCCUGUUCUUGACGCUGAGGCGCGAAAGCUAGGGGAGCAAACGGG